CUUUAUUCUUAGCCUUUUGGCUAAGAUCUAGCAUCUGUUCUUAUCAGUUUAAUAUCUGAUAUGUCCUUUAUCCAAGGACAAUAUAUUAAAUGGAUUUGGGGAGCAGGGAGAUGGAAUAGAGCUUGCUCCAUCCACUCCAUGCAUUGAGCUGGUAUUGCAGUGCCUCCAGGAACAGGGCAACCCCU